UUGACCUCGGAUCAGGUAGGGAUACCCGCUGAACUUAAGCAUAUCAAUAAGCGGAGGAAAAGAAACCAACAGGGAUUGCCCUAGUAACGGCGAGUGAAGCGGCAAGAGCUCAAAUUUGAAAUCUGGCCUCCUUGGGGCCCGAGUUGUAAUUUGUAGAGGGUGCUUUGGCGUUGGCCGUGGCCUAAGUUCCUUGGAACAGGACGUCACAGAGGGUGAGAACCCCGUACGUGGCCGCCGGUCUUCGCCGUGUAAAGCCCCUUCGACGAGUCGAGUUGUUUGGGAAUGCAGCUCUAAAUGGGAGGUAAAUUUCUUCUAAAGCUAAAUACUGGCCAGAGACCGAUAGCGCACAAGUAGAGUGAUCGAAAGAUGAAAAGCACUUUGGAAAGAGAGUCAAAAAGCACGUGAAAUUGUUGAAAGGGAAGCGCUUGCAGCCAGACUUGCCCGCAGUUGUUCAUCUGGAUUUAAUCCGGUGCACUCUCCUGUGGGCAGGCCAGCAUCAGUCCGGGCGGUCGGAUAAAGGCCCUAGGAAUGUAUCUCUCUUCGGGGAGUGUUAUAGCCCAGGGUGCCAUGCGACCAGCCGGGACUGAGGUCCGCGCAUCUGCUAGGAUGCUGGCGUAAUGGCUGUAAGCGGCCCGUCUUGAAACACGGACCAAGGAGUCUAACAUCUAUGCGAGUGUUUGGGUGUCAAGCCCGGGCGCGUAAUGAAAGUGAACGGAGGUGGGAACCCCUCGGGGCGCACCAUCGACCGAUCCUGAUGUCUUCGGAUGGAUUUGAGUAAGAGCAUAGCUGUUGGGACCCGAAAGAUGGUGAACUAUGCCUGAAUAGGGUGAAGCCAGAGGAAACUCUGGUGGAGGCUCGCAGCGGUUCUGACGUGCAAAUCGAUCGUCAAAUUUGGGCAUAGGGGCGAAAGACUAAUCGAACUAUCUAGUAGCUGGUUCCUGCCGAAGUUUCCCUCAGGAA
rnacentral:rRNA from 1 species